UACGUAGGGACCAAGCGUUGUCCGGAAUCAUUGGGCGUAAAGAGCGUGUAGGCGGCUCGGUAAGUCCGCUGUGAAAGUCCAGGGCUCAACCCUGGAAUGCCGGUGGAAACUGUCGAGCUAGAGUCCGGAAGAGGCGAGUGGAAUUCCUGGUGUAGCGGUGAAAUGCGCAGAUAUCAGGAGGAACACCAAUGGCGAAGGCAGCUCGCUGGGACGGUACUGACGCUGAGACGCGAAAGCGUGGGGAGCAAACAGG
rnacentral:rRNA from 1 species